rnacentral:rRNA from 1 species
ACGGUAACGGAAGCAGCUUGCUGCUUCGCUGACGAGUGGCGGACGGGUGAGUAAUGUCUGGGAAACUGCCUGAUGGAGGGGGAUAACUACUGGAAACGGUGGCUAAUACCGCAUAACGUCGCAAGACCAAAGAGGGGGACCUUCGGGCCUCUUGCCAUCAGAUGUGCCCAGAUGGGAUUAGCUAGUUGGUGAGGUAACGGCUCACCAAGGCGACGAUCCCUAGCUGGUCUGAGAGGAUGACCAGCCACACUGGAACUGAGACACGGUCCAGACUCCUACGGGAGGCAGCAGUGGGGAAUAUUGCACAAUGGGCGCAAGCCUGAUGCAGCCAUGCCGCGUGUAUGAAGAAGGCCUUCGGGUUGUAAAGUACUUUCAGCGGGGAGGAAGGUGUUGUGGUUAAUAACCGCAGCAAUUGACGUUACCCGCAGAAGAAGCACCGGCUAACUCCGUGCCAGCAGCCGCGGUAAUGCGGAGGGUGCAAGCGUUAAUCGGAAUUACUGGGCGUAAAGCGCACGCAGGCGGUCUGUCAAGUCGGAUGUGAAAUCCCCGGGCUCAACCUGGGAACUGCAUUCGAAACUGGCAGGCUUGAGUCUUGUAGAGGGGGGUAGAAUUCCAGGUGUAGCGGUGAAAUGCGUAGAGAUCUGGAGGAAUACCGGUGGCGAAGGCGGCCCCCUGGACAAAGACUGACGCUCAGGUGCGAAAGCGUGGGGAGCAAACAGGAUUAGAUACCCUGGUAGUCCACGCCGUAAACGAUGUCUACUUGGAGGUUGUGCCCUUGAGGCGUGGCUUCCGGAGCUAACGCGUUAAG